AUUGAACGCUGGCGGCAGGCUUAACACAUGCAAGUCGAGCGGGGGAAGGUAGCUUGCUACUGGACCUGGCGGCGGACGGGUGAGUAAUGCUUAGGAAUCUGCCUAUUAGUGGGGGACAACAUCUCGAAAGGGAUGCUAAUACCGCAUACGUCCUACGGGAGAAAGCAGGGGAUCUUCGGACCUUGCGCUACUAGAUGAGCCUAAGUCGGAUUAGCUAGUUGGCGGGGUAAAGGCCUACCAAGGCGACGAUCUGGAGCGGGUCUGAGAGGAUGAUCCGCCACACUGGGGCUGGGACACGGCCCAGACUCCUACGGGAGGCAGCAGUGGGGAAUAUUGGACAAUGGCGGGAACCCUGAUCUAGCCAUGCCGCGUGUGUGAAGAAGGCCUUAUGGUUGUAAAGCACUUUAAGCGAGGAGGAGGCUACUCUAGUUAAUACCUAGGGAUAGUGGACGUUACUCGCAGAAUAAGCACCGGCUAACUCUGUGCCAGCCGCCGCAGUAA
rnacentral:rRNA from 1 species